GAAUGUUUCAUCAUGAGAUGUAAGCAUCAUGUUCAAGACCCUGAGUGCUUCAUAAAAAAAAAAGUUCCUUUUCCACCAAAACAAUGCCCUGAUUUGAGUGCUUCAUCAAAAGAGAAAGAUUUCUCAUGAUAAACCAUAUUCUAAGCACUUAGAUCACAAUAUAGUAAAUUUUCAAAAGGAAGUCACUUUUGCCAAGAUAUAAAGGCUCAUGUAUGUAAAUUCUAUGCUUCCAAUAUAAGUACAUUUCAAAAAUAUUAUUAAACACUUAUUUACUGAGUGCUGCUUAUAUGCCUCCCAUUCUCACUCUUUUUUGUGGUUGAAUUUAAUCAACACACAACUCUAAGGAAUAGGCAUGACUCAUUAUUUUCAUUUUACACUUGAGGAAACUGAGGCACUCAGUGUUUUACAUAUAUAAAAACGAGUAUGAGGUUCAGCCAAAAUUCAAAUACCGAACGUCUGGCUCCAAAGCCCACAUGGUAUUCACCAUAAAUAGAAAUUUCAUACUAGAAAUCAUAUUGUUUUAUUUCCCUCAGGAGCAAUUUAGGAAAUAAAUUAAAAACUUUAAAGUGGUGAUUUAAAGCAACUCACCUUUUUGCCAGUUAUGUGUUACCUUAAGAGAAAAUUGCAAGAAAUGAGAAAGAUAAAGCUUGAUGAGGAUGACACUAUCAUGAAUCACACGAAAAGAAAAGAGGAUUAUUUAGCAUAUUGAAUAUGAAGUUGUAGAUUCAGGGCAACAUCAAGACGGAUGAACUCCCCCACCAAGCUGUUUAACAAACUGGCUCUCUAUCGAGCUGGCCAUGCCGAGUUAGUAGCAGAUCUGCAAUGAUGCCUCUACCAAGCUCACAAUUAUACAAAUGGUGCAGCAGCAGGAAAGCACAUAGAAGAGGGCUACACAGAAGAUACGAGCUCCAGUCAGGUCAUGACACAAAGCCACAGAACUUAACUGGGAAAUGAGCAAUGCUUAUGUGUCCAGCAUUGUCUCAAUUGGUUUCCCAUGCAGAGAGCUCAAAGAGCAUCCUAUCUGAUAUGCACCAGGCAACAACUGAGAACAAGGACCAGCCAAAGUCAUCAGAAGGGUAGCACAGUUGCUGCUAGCAGCCGCUGUGCCCUGAGGGGUGAGGGAAAUGUGGUCGCCUAA
rnacentral:lncRNA from 1 species